rnacentral:tRNA from 1 species
GGGGACGUAGCCUAGCAAGGUGCAAGGUGGAUCUCUGCCUAGAAACCUGUAGAUCGCCGGUUCGAAUCCGGCCGUCCCCACCA